AAUAGAUACCCUGGUAGUCCACGCCGUAAACGAUGGAUGCUAGCUGUUAUGCGUAUCGACCCGUGUAGUAGCGAAGCUAACGCGUUAAGCAUCCCGCCUGGGGAGUACGAACGCAAGUUUAAAACUCAAAGGAAUUGACGGGGACCCGCACAAGCGGUGGAGCGUGUUCUUUAAUUCGAGGCUAAGCGAAGAACCUUACCAGGGCUUGACAUCCUUGGAAUUUCUCCGAAAGGAGAGAGUACUUUAUUGGACCAAGUGACAGGUGCUGCAUGGCCGUCGUCAGCUCGUGUCGUGAGAUGUUUGGUUAAGUCCAUUAACGAGCGCAACCCUUAUGAAUAGUUGUAUUUUUCUAUUCAGACUGCCCCGGUAACGGGGAGGAAGGGGGGAUGAUGUCAGGUCAGUAUUACCCUUACGCCCUGGGCUAGAAACGCGCUACAAUGGCCGGUACAAUGCGCUGCCAACCCGCGAGGGGGAGCAAAUCGCAUCAAAGCCGGUCCCAGUUCGGAUAAGAGGCUGAAACUCGCCUCUUUGAAGCCGGAAUCGCUAGUAAUCGU
rnacentral:rRNA from 1 species